UACGGAGGAUGCGAGCGUUAUCCGGAUUUAUUGGGUUUAAAGGGUGCGUAGACGGAUCGUUAAGUCAGUGGUCAAAUUGAGGGGCUCAACCCCUUCCCGCCAUUGGAACUGGCGAUCUUGAGUGGAAGAGAAGUAUGCGGAAUGCGUGGUGUAGCGGUGAAAUGCAUAGAUAUCACGCAGAACCCCGAUUGCGAAGGCAGCAUGCCGGCUUCCUACUGACGCUGAAGCACGAAAGCGUGGGGAUCGAACAGG
rnacentral:rRNA from 1 species